rnacentral:rRNA from 1 species
CACGUAGGGCGCAAGCGUUGUCCGGAAUUAUUGGGCGUAAAGAGCUCGUUGGCGGUCUGUUACGUCUGCUGUGAAAACCCGGGGCUUAACCCUGGGCUUGCAGUGGAUACGGGCAGACUAGAGGCAGGUAGGGGAGAAUGGAAUUCCCGGUGUAGCGGUGAAAUGCGCAGAUAUCGGGAGGAACACCGGUGGCGAAGGCGGUUCUCUGGGCCUGACCUGACGCUGAGGAGCGAAAGCGUGGGGAGCAAACGGG